rnacentral:rRNA from 1 species
GAUGAACGCUGACCGAAUGCUUAACACAUGCAAGUCUUUGGCGAAGCUGUGCUUGCACAGCCUAGCCAAGGCGGACGGGUGAGUAACGCGUAAGGAACUUGCCCUGCAGUCAGGGAUAACAGACGGAAACGACUGAUAAGACCUGGUAAAGUCAGGCGGACUCAUGUCCAGCCUGAUGAAAAGAGAUGCUGCAGGAGAGCCUUGCGUCCUAUUAGCUUGUUGGUGGGGUAACGGCCCACCAAGGCGAUGAUAGGUAGCCGGCCUGAGAGGGUGGACGGCCACAAGGGGACUGAGAUACGGCCCUUACUCCUACGGGAGGCAGCAGUGGGGAAUAUUGGACAAUGGGGGCAACCCUGAUCCAGCAAUUCUGUGUGCACGAUGAAGGUUUUCGGAUUGUAAAGUGAUUUCAGCAGGGAAGAAAAAAAUGACGGUACCUGCAGAAGAAGCGACGGCUAAAUACGUG